CCACAAUCUGUUGUUGUCCCUUCUCCAUGGGUGUGACUGGUUUAGAUGGAGUAAUCUGAUUAAGAGCAACAAUAGGCGAUGAAGUUGCACUUCGAUUAGCAUCUAUAGUUGCACCAGGUUUUGAAAUGUUUUUUGGAAAAUAUAUCGGUGCAUUAUGGUUCAGUGUGGUCCUUCUGUUUGCACAUGUUGGCAAAUUGGCAGAGU
rnacentral:lncRNA from 1 species